CGCGCCCAGGACGUGUCGUAGUCCGCCCUCAGAGGGUGGCGCGGGCUAGCCGGUUCGAUGCCGGUGGGCACGG
rnacentral:tRNA from 1 species